GAUUCCUUGCUGCUGGGUGCCAGCCCCCGUUUGGCAAGAAAAGGGGGAGCUGUGACACCCACACCCUUCCCACCCUGCGAUGUCUUCCCCUCCUCCUACCUUCAGUGAGAACUCCUGACACAACACCUUCAUACUUAACACCAGCACUGCACCAGAGCCGGAGUGCAUCAUCCAGGCAGCAGUACAAUACUGUACAUGCAGGAGGGGCAGGAUACUCACUAUCCAGGAUCUAAUGCAAACUGCAAGCCCUGACACAGAACACAUGCAGCAUCUCCUCUCAUUCAUCUCCAGUAACAACUGUCCAAAAGGGGAGGAACUGUAAAGUUCUCCUAAACGUGUUGCUUGCUUCUGAAGGCUGAAGUUCACCUGAAGUGGGCUCUGACACUUCCAAUAUGCCUCUAAGCCACUGUGCCAGCAGCUAGCGUAUCCACCCUAUACAUUCUGCACAAAGACUUUUAGUGAAAAGUUCUUGCAUCAUCAUGAAAGGAUGAAGAAAAUGCCUCACUGACAGUUGCAGAACCAUAAAUCAUAAAUAAAGGGCAAGGCAUGAGUCAUUCCUUGCGUGUGAUGCCCUGACUUAGACACUCUGUGCCCCUGAGCAUCAGCUUUAGUAGAUGACAUUGAAGGAUUAGCAUCAUCAUCAUGACUGGUGGCAGCAGCUGAAGCGACAGUAUUUGGGUGCUCUUCGAGAAAUUCAGAGAGCACAGCCUUUCAUCAGAGGACACAGUGACCAGUUUGUCACAAAAAUAGCUUGGAAUUGGAAUACUACCAUUAUUUGGCCUGGAACAUAUGUGGAUUUUCAAUUUAAUUAAUGGUUGUUUUCAUUAAGUAUGGAAUAAGAAUAACAAUCAUCGACAUCGAUGGAAAUCGUAAUGAUUCAUAGGAUCUUGGAUUUUUUACCAAUGUUCUUCACAAGGAAUUUGAAAGUAUUCUGAACCAUUAUUUAACCUCCCAGACUGCUCUACUGCUGGCACAAUAUAAAGGUAAAUUCUGCAUUUUCCGUGCAUCCAGAACAGAAGAAACGGAACAUUUACAAGCAAUUAAUGGACAUAAAUGUAACAUUUUAAAGGGUGCAAACCACAGCAGAUGUUGGAUACAUUUUCACAUGACGGAUCAUGUUUCCAUUGGCAGAUAAAAUAUAGGACAAAAUCAAUAUAUGGUAAAACAGCAUUAAUGACAGCACAAAAUUACACUGGAUGAAGAGAGGAUCAAGGGCUUCAAUCAAUAUUAACUGCGGAUUAUAUCUGAUGAAGACCAAGACAUUGUUAGCACAUACUGUAACAUGGAUUGGUGUAAGAUGACUCUGCAGAGAUGUGCUCUUAAUUAAUGUACAGAGCCUUUAAGUCCCACCUCUCAACACUAAUGAUUGACAUUCAAGGAAACAUAAAUUACACUAAUUGAGAUUUACGUUCAUACAGCUGGUUUAUAUCUAACCCAUCA